rnacentral:rRNA from 1 species
GACGAACGCUGGCGGCGCGCCUAACACAUGCAAGUCGAACGGAGUCAAGAGGAGCUUGCUUUUCUUGACUUAGUGGCGAACGGGUGAGUAACGCGUGAGUAAUCUGCCCUGGAGUGGGGGACAACAGUUGGAAACGACUGCUAAUACCGCAUAAGCCCACGGAUCCGCAUGGAUCUGCGGGAAAAGGAUUUAUUCGCUUCAGGAUGGACUCGCGUCCAAUUAGCUAGUUGGUGAGGUAACGGCCCACCAAGGCGACGAUUGGUAGCCGGACUGAGAGGUUGAACGGCCACAUUGGGACUGAGACACGGCCCAGACUCCUACGGGAGGCAGCAGUGGGGGAUAUUGCACAAUGGGGGAAACCCUGAUGCAGCGACGCCGCGUGGAGGAAGAAGGUUUUCGGAUUGUAAACUCCUGUCGUUAGGGACGAUAAUGACGGUACCUAACAAGAAAGCACCGGCUAACUACGUG